rnacentral:rRNA from 1 species
AUUGAACGCUGGCGGAAUGCUUUACACAUGCAAGUCGAGCGGCAGCGCGGGGGCAACCCUGGCGGCGAGCGGCGAACGGGUGAGUAAUACAUCGGAACGUACCCUGACGUGGGGGAUAACUAACCGAAAGGUUAGCUAAUACCGCAUACGUCCUGAGGGAGAAAGCGGGGGAUCGCAAGACCUCGCGCGUUAGGAGCGGCCGAUGGCGGAUUAGCUUGUUGGUGAGGUAAAGGCUCACCAAGGCGACGAUCCGUAGCGGGUCUGAGAGGACGACCAGCCACCCUGGAACUGAGACACGGUCCAGACUCCUACGGGAGGCAGCAGUGGGGAAUUUUGGACAAUGGGGGAAACCCUGAUCCAGCCAUUCCGCGUGAGUGAAGAAGGCCUUCGGGUUGUAAAGCUCUUUCGGCAGGGAAGAAAACUUACUCUCUAAUAUAGGGUGAGGCUGACGGUACCUUGAUAAGAAGCACCGGCUAACUACGUGCCAGCCGCCGCGGUAAUAC